GUCAACUACCCCCAGCUCACGCAGGGGGCUUGUUCCGUGAGGGACAACACAAGAGUUGAUUAGGGGGCUUUAAAAACAUGGAGAAAAACAUGAAAGAAAGGCAGAAGUUAGAUAGGAGAGAUACAUACACACCUGCGGAUGCUCCACAAGUCCGUGGCAACUGUG
rnacentral:sRNA from 14 species